rfam:Serratia sp. M24T3 contig010, whole genome shotgun sequence.
AGCCGCCAUGCGGCAAAUAGGGUCCAGUUGCAUAAAGCCCCGAUUUAUCGGGGUUUUUUGUUAUUUGGCAACAGAAUCACUGGGCUAUUAGGCCCUUUUUUU